UCGAGGGGUAACAGGGAGAAGCUUGCUUUUCUGCUGACGACCGGCGAACGGGUGCGUAACGCGUAUAGAAUCUGCCUUGUACAGGAGGAUAGCCUUUAGAAAUGAAGAUUAAUACUCCAUAAUACUGAGAUGUGGCAUCACAAUUUAGUUAAACAUUUAUGGGUACAAGAUGACUAUGCGUCCUAUUAGCUAGAUGGUAAGGUAACGGCUUACCAUGGCAACGAUAGGUAGGGGGUCUGAGAGGAUUAUCCCCCACACUGGUACUGAGACACGGACCAGACUCCUACGGGAGGCAGCAGUGAGGAAUAUUGGUCAAUGGAGGCAACUCUGAACCAGCCAUGCCGCGUGCAGGAAGACUGCCCUAUGGGUUGUAAACUGCUUUUAUACAGGAAGAAACAGUCGUACGUGUACGGCCUUGACGGUACUGUAAGAAUAAGGACCGGCUAACUCCGUGCCAGCAGCCGCGGUAAUACGGAGGGUCCAAGCGUUAUCCGGAAUCAUUGGGUUUAAAGGGUCCGCAGGCGGUCAAUUAAGUCAGAGGUGAAAUCCCAUAGCUUAACUAUGGAACUGCCUUUGAUACUGGUUGACUUGAGUUAUACGGAAGUAGAUAGAAUAAGUAGUGUAGCGGUGAAAUGCAUAGAGAUUACUUAGAAUACCGAUUGCGAAGGCAGUCUACUACGUAUAUACUGACGCUCAUGGACGAAAGCGUGGGGAGCGAACAGGAUUAGAUACCCUGGUAGUCCACGCCGUAAACGAUGGAUACUAGUUGUUGGGAUUUAUCUCAGUGACUAAGCGAAAGUGAUAAGUAUCCCACCUGGGGAGUACGGUCGCAAGACUGAAACUCAAAGGAAUU
rnacentral:rRNA from 1 species